CACAAGCGGUGGAGCAUGUGGUUUAAUUCGAAGCAACGCGAAGAACCUUACCAGGUCUUGACAUCCCGAUGCUAUUUCUAGAGAUAGAAAGUUACUUCGGUACAUCGGUGACAGGUGGUGCAUGGUUGUCGUCAGCUCGUGUCGUGAGAUGUUGGGUUAAGUCCCGCAACGAGCGCAACCCUCGACCUUAGUUGCCAGCAUUCAGUUGGGCACUCUAAGGUGACUGCCGGCUAAAAGUCGGAGGAAGGUGGGAUGACGUCAAAUCAUCAUGCCCCUUAUGACCUGGGCUACACACGUGCUACAAUGGGCGGUACAAAGGGUCGCGAACCCGCGAGGGGGAGCCAAUCCCAAAAAGCCGCUCUCAGUUCGGAUUGCAGGCUGCAACUCGCCUGCAUGAAGCCGGAAUCGCUAGUAAUCGCGGAUCAGCAUGCUGCGGUGAAUACGUUCCCGGGUCUU
rnacentral:rRNA from 1 species